rnacentral:lncRNA from 1 species
GCAGCAUAUGCAGUGAGGACAAAACAUCCUAGAGACCGCAAACUGCAGUGCUUCCAGAGGAGUUACAAGCGGUCUUUGUGAAACUAAUAAUUGUAGAAUAGCAACCAAAGAGUGCCCCUGAUAAUAAUAUAGAUAAGAGUCCUAGGUUACGUAUGUACAGAGCAGAGCAGCGGCGAGGGUAAUGCAAAUCACUGACCAAAACAAUGGAUCAAGCUGAAAAUCUGUAACAGAAAUUGCAGGAUUGAGUAUAUAAAAACCUGUCAGCCAUUGGUAACUCCAGUAAGAAGAAACCUAAAGCCUGAUGCUACUAAAGCUAGUACUGCCAUUUUCACUAUAAUAAGAUAUAAAAAGCUAUAAAUGGAUGGAUCGUCCCAGCUUAACACAGACCAGCUGGACUGCAUCCACAACACAUACUCAAAAUUUCCCACAUCUGCCUGAUCAAAGUCAUCACCGCCCAAUCAUAUUGCUAUACAGGGGCGUCAGCGACGAUGAAUUGGAAAAUCGGAGACAGAGCCGCGAUACAGAGAAAGAGAGACAGAGAGGGAGCUCACGAGGUUAUUAUUGAGUCAAUCAAGAUCGAGGCACUUGACGACGAUGGCCCGGUUGGCCGGGAGGAAGAUGGCAUGGUACACGACGGCGUUGGCGCAAAAGCAGACCUCCUCCAUGAGCCUGUAGUCGUCGGCCGACAAGGUGAACUCCAG